ensembl:lncRNA
GGGCCACUGCCUCCCUUGGCGUGGCCCACCUCUCUCUCUCUGCUUUUUCUUUCCAUAUCAUCAGUAAGCUUUCUUGCAGUGGUUAAGACCUCCGAUUCUUCUUUGUAUCCUUACCAAGAACAGAGGCCCAUGGGAGGUGGGGUCUUCAGACUCUCCUCUGCUAACAUUUUGGUGCCAUGACUUGGGUUUUCUGUAAGUAAGAGAGAUCGUCUCCACAGAUCUCUACCACUCCUUUCCUUUGUGUGGGCACAAAGGACCUAAUCAUUUCUCUGCUCCUACUUUCUUUCUCAAUCCUCUAUCGGUUGAGCAGACUCUUGCUCCUGAUCUCCUCCCUGUCUGACCAUCACUCAAUCUGAGCCUGCCUCUUUGGACCAACACUGGAGAUUCAGGGAAAUAAACAUCCUGCCUUGGUUCAACCCAUCCAAUGACAUGGGACUUCUCCUGAGAAGACCGGGAGAUGGAUUCCACCCAGAUACCUCCCUCCCGGAGCUACAAGUCCUUAGGAAAACUGGCCUAAAAAUCAACUCUCCUAGCCCUCAUUCAUCUGUUCUUAUCAGAACCUGGAAGGACAGGGUUCCAGGUACCUCCAGCAGGAUUCACCAUUCCAGGGGGAAGCCUUGGAAACCACCCCUGAAGACAGAAGCACUCUGAUAUUCUACACCUGUGAGCCAUUUGAAGCCCUUAAGUUCCUCU